rfam:Roseburia sp. 40_7 Ley3_66761_scaffold_6804, whole genome shotgun sequence.
UUUAGAAGAAAAUUAGUAAAUCUUAGUCUGCCUGUUAAUUAUAUAGUGUUUUGCUGCCAUGGACGACAGUAGCAAAAGUCUUAAUGCCCCAUGGACGGUUUAAGACGUACACGUCACUUUGUCAUAGCCUAUUUCAGGCAGACUUAGAUUUUCUUAUUUUUAUACAAU